rnacentral:rRNA from 1 species
UACGUAGGGUGCAAGCGUUAUCCGGAAUUAUUGGGCGUAAAGAGCUCGUAGGCGGUUUGUCGCGUCUGCUGUGAAAACCCGAGGCUCAACCUCGGGCCUGCAGUGGGUACGGGCAGACUAGAGUGCGGUAGGGGAGAUUGGAAUUCCUGGUGUAGCGGUGAAAUGCGCAGAUAUCAGGAGGAACACCGAUGGCGAAGGCAGGUCUCUGGGCAUUAACUGACGCUGAGGAGCGAAAGCAUGGGGAGCGAACAGG